rnacentral:rRNA from 1 species
UACGUAGGGCGCAAGCGUUGUCCGGAAUUAUUGGGCGUAAAGAGCUCGUAGGCGGUCUGUUACGUCCGCUGUGAAAACCCAGGGCUUAACCCUGGGCUUGCAGUGGAUACGGGCAGACUAGAGGCAGGUAGGGGAGAAUGGAAUUCCCGGUGUAGCGGUGAAAUGCGCAGAUAUCGGGAGGAAUACCGGUGGCGAAGGCGGGUCUCUGGGCCGAUACUGACGCUGAGGAGCGAAAGCCAGGGGAGCAAACGGG